rnacentral:rRNA from 1 species
CUGAAGAGUUUGAUCAUGGCUCAGAUUGAACGCUGGCGGCAGGCCUAAGACAUGCAAGUCGAACGGUAACGACACUAGCUUGCUAGUGGUCGACGAGUGGCGGACGGGUGAGUAACGCGUAGGAAUCUACCUAGUAGUGGGGGAUAGCCAAGGGAAACUUUGGGUAAUACCGCAUACGAUCUAAGGAUGAAAGGGGGCCUCUCUUUGAAGCUCUCGCUAUUAGAUGAGCCUGCGUAAGAUUAGCUUGUUGGUGGGGUAAUGGCCCACCAAGGCGACGAUCUUUAGCUGGUCUGAGAGGAUGAUCAGCCACACCGGGACUGAGACACGGCCCGGACUCCUACGGGAGGCAGCAGUCGGGAAUAUUGCGCAAUGGGGGAAACCCUGACGCAGCCAUGCCGCGUGUGUGAAGAAGGCCCUAGGGUUGUAAAGCACUUUUAGUAGUGAGGAAGGCUCAGUAGUUAAUACCUACUGGGAUUGACGUUAGCUACAGAAAAAGCACCGGCUAAUUUCGUGCCAGCAGCCGCGGUAAUACGAAAGGUGCAAGCGUUAAUCGGAAUUACUGGGCGUAAAGCGCGCGUAGGCGGACUGGAAAGUUGGGGGUGAAAUCCCAGGGCUCAACCCUGGAACUGCCUCCAAAACUAUCAGUCUAGAGUUCGAGAGAGGUGAGUGGAAUUCCGAGUGUAGAGGUGAAAUUCGUAGAUAUUCGGAGGAACACCAGUGGCGAAGGCGGCUCACUGGCUCGAUACUGACGCUGAGGUGCGAAAGUGUGGGGAGCAAACAGGAUUAGAUACCCUGGUAGUCCACACCGUAAACGAUGAAUGCCAGUCGUCGGGUAGCAUGCUAUUCGGUGACACACCUAACGGAUUAAGCAUUCCGCCUGGGGAGUACGGUCGCAAGAUUAAAACUCAAAGAAAUUGACGGGGGCCCGCACAAGCGGUGGAGCAUGUGGUUUAAUUCGAUGAUACGCGAGGAACCUUACCAGGGCUUAAAUGUAGAUUGACAGGUUUAGAGAUAGACUUUUCUUCGGACAAUUUACAAGGUGCUGCAUGGUUGUCGUCAGCUCGUGCCGUGAGGUGU